rnacentral:rRNA from 1 species
GUAGUCAUAUGCUUGUCUCAAAGAUUAAGCCAUGCAUGUCUAAGUAUAAGCAAUUAUACCGCGAAACUGCGAAUGGCUCAUUAUAUAAGUUAUCGUUUAUUUGAUAGUACCUUACUACUUGGAUAACCGUGGUAAUUCUAGAGCUAAUACAUGCUAAAAAUCCCGACUUCGGAAGGGAUGUAUUUAUUAGAUUAAAAGCCAAUGCCCUCUGGGCUCUCUGGUGAUUCAUGAUAACUUCUCGAAUCGCAUGGCCUUGCGCCGGCGAUGGUUCAUUCAAAUUUCUUCCCUAUCAACUUUCGAUGUUUGGGUAUUGGCCAAACAUGGUUGCAACGGGUAACGGAGGGUUAGGGCUCGACCCCGGAGAAGGAGCCUGAGAAACGGCUACUACAUCCAAGGAAGGCAGCAGGCGCGCAAAUUACCCAAUCCCGACACGGGGAGGUAGUGACAAUAAAUACUGAUACAGGGCUCUUUUGGGUCUUGUAAUUGGAAUGAGUACAAUUUAAAUCCCUUAACGAGGAACAAUUGGGGGGCAAGUCUGGUGCAGCAGCC